rnacentral:rRNA from 1 species
AGAGUUUGAUCCUGGCUCAGGAUGAACGCUAGCGGCAGGCUUAAUACAUGCAAGUCGAGGGGCAGCACGGUAGCAAUACUGGUGGCGACCGGCGCACGGGUGCGUAACACGUAUACAACCUACCUUAAACAGGGGGAUAACCUUUCGAAAGAGAGACUAAUACCCCGUAAUAAAUUGGAUGGCAUCAUUUGAUUUUGAAAGUUCCGACGGUUUAAGAUGGGUAUGCGUAUGAUUAGCUAGUUGGUAGUGUAACGGACUACCAAGGCGACGAUCAUUAGGGGAUCUGAGAGGACUACCCCCCACACUGGUACUGAGACACGGACCAGACUCCUACGGGAGGCAGCAGUAAGGAAUAUUGGUCAAUGGAGGCAACUCUGAACCAGCCAUGCCGCGUGCAGGAUGACGGCCCUAUGGGUUGUAAACUGCUUUUGUACGGGAGAAAACCCACCUACGUGUAGGUGGUUGAUAGUACCGUAAGAAUAAGCAUCGGCUAACUUCGUGCCAGCAGCCGCGGUAAGACGAAGGAUACAAGCGUUAUCCGGAUUCAUUGGGUUUAAAGGGUGCGUAGGCGGACUGAUAAGUCGGUGGUGAAAGCCGGCAGCUUAACUGUCGAAUUGCCAUUGAUACUGUUGGUCUAGAGUAUAGAUGACGUUGGCGGAAUAUGACAUGUAGUGGUGAAAUACUUAGAUAUGUCAUAGAACACCGAUUGCGAAGGCAGCUAACGAAACUAUAACUGACGCUGAGGCACGAAAGUGCGGGGAUCGAACAGGAUUAGAUACCCCGGUAGU